AUGUGAUUGGGAGAAUGCGAUCUAAAGAAGUUAGAUUCAUGAGACCAUUCUUUCGUAGACACAUCCUAAACAUUCAUGAUCAUAGGAUUGCCAAUUGGGCAUUGACAGUCCGUUAAGAUCAGUACGUGCUGUGUAUUCUCUCAGGGAGAGUGACUAGUCUCGAGUCAUUGGUAUGUGUGACAUCAAGACAAGUACGUAGGUGCUCAAUAGAGAAUGAGUUCACUGAACACGAUCAACGAAAACUUCUCAUAUUCAUGUCACAUGAGAACUCAUGGUUGGGAUAAUGCAAAGUAGUCCUUUGACCUGAGGCAUCACGUUUGUCUUGUGGUUAAGUCUUUGAUCAUUGAUUAUGUCAAAGUCACCCCAUCCGCGGGUGUCCACGGCAUCGUUGGGGUUAAGCCACUUAGUAUGGAGGCAAGUGAAUGCGCAACAAGGGAUCUCUAACCUUCAAACCGUUUGGGGGAAAAUACUCUAUGAUAUGAUUUAGAAUCUCUGGCCAGAGUAUGAAUGAGAUUUAGGAAAGUCGUUCCAAAUCACAUUCAAGGUAAUCAUAUAAGCACACGAAUCACAUUGGAUAAUAGACAUGAAUAAACUAUCAAACCAAACAAUGUGGUCAAGAGUAUUGUAUUAGAGAAAGACCGUAUUGCAUUUGUAAUCCUAAACUGAAUAGGUUCUCUACCUCUUCUGAUUAGCUUGGGUAACCAUGAUAUGCUGCUAGGUGUCACUCUUGGUUUGUGGAAGCCCUAAACGUGUAUAAUCACUAAAGGGAGAAUUGAAAGUAAGUUUCAAUUCACAAUCGAUUUGAAAGAGUUCUAAUCGCCCACUGCCUCGCUAAAAGGAACCUAAUGAUCGUACACCGUGUAAGGUGGAGAUUGAAGAAACAAUGGAGAUGAGUAAGAAUAAUUAAAUGGUUUAAUUAUUUAUGGCAAGGAUUAAUUAAUAUGUUAAUUAAUCAAACGAAUAAGUUCGUUAAAGACCUCGGGAUAGUUUUGGACCUUAAGGCCCAAUGGGCUUCGAACGUCAAGCCCAUUGACUUAAGUUGUAAAACAAUUUAAUGAAUAAAGAUUCACAAAGGCCCAAAAGCCCAUAUCCCUUAUAUGGCCGGCCAUGUGUGUUGAUUAGGGUUUUUGGUUCUUUAGGUCAUUUAAAGAAGUGACUAUAUAAAGAACUUUAUAGCCUAAAAUUCAUUAAGGGUUCUUUUGGAGAAAAUUAGAGAGAACAUGUCUCUCCUUUUCUCUCUAGGAGGCCGGCCCCCUUGGAGGGUGUAUCUAGCAAUCCCACUACUCCAAGGUCACUCAUUUCUUUAUAAUCUUACCUUGGUGUGGAUACUUAGAGGUUCUCAAUUUUGGGAACUUGGAGAAACCUAUUCUUCCAUCCAAAUCCAUAGAUUUUAGAUGCAAGGAAUGAAGGCCCUCUCUUUGGGUGAUUAGCCUUUGCUUAUGCAAAGAGGAAUCUACAAAGGUAUAUAUUUCUCAACUCACUUUGAUUUGAGUUGAGUCUUGGUUCACCAAUCUACUAGGCUUUGAAUUUCAUGGGUAAUGUUUUGUUUUUGAAUGCAUGCAAGCAUGAUUCCGCCUUUUAAUUGUUAAAUGCAUGCUAUAGAUGUUAUUCAAAUGAACAUGUUUUCACAAAAUCAUUCUUCAAGUGGUAUCAGAGCCUAGGUCUAGUAGUUGGUGAAUCCUUUUGGGUUUUGAUGUUCAUAGUUUUGAUUUAAAAGUUGUAAUAUGUUACAAGCUUUAUUCUUGUUUCUUUGAAUGUAAAUUUUGUUAGAAAAUUUGCCAUCUCAAAUGUUGUAGAUGUAGUUCUUAUGAGCAUGAAUAUUGGAGCUAAAAUUUGGUGCCAUGCUUUUGGGAAUUUUCGGCCAAAUCCAAAGGGUGGAUUUUUGGGUUCUUGUUUGACUUGUUAAAAGUGUUUUUAAGUGACUUUUGGAACCCCUAUGUACCCUAGUUUGGUUAUAUGUUAUUUCCCUAAAGUUUGAAUGGUUUUGAGAUGUUUUUGGGUGAACAAUGUUCAUGGAAAUUUUUGAGUUUUUCAUGAAUGUUCUUCAUUGUUCUUGACAUUUUUGCCAAGAACAAAAAGUUUUGUGUUUUGAUUCAAAGUUUUGAUUUAUUUCAUAAAGUUUAUGUUUUAUGUUUUUCAAAUGUUUAAAUGUUUUAGAUAUUUGUUUAAAUGGUGAUAGAAAUAAUGGUGGGUGUGAAAGGAUUAAUUCCCUUUCACACACACCACUUGUGCACUUGCAUGCUUUAUGUCAAAACUCACAAAUCAACACACACAUCACUCUAAUCCUUCUCCAAAAACGGCCCUCCCUCAAGUGGGAGUACUUUUGGGGCUUUUAUGCAAUUACAUAAAGUUUUGAUACUUUUGUGUAUUUGCACUUUGGCCCAAAAGUUUACGUUUUUACGUUUAGGUCCAAAAACACUAAAGGACAAAUUGUUUUGCUCCUUUAAUGAAGCUUUUGCAUUGUUUAAAUUUUGGGUUCUAGUUGUAAUUACAUGAAGUAGUGGACUUUUGUGUUUUUACAAAGUGACGCCAAAAGUUUAUGUUUUUGCAAUAUAGCCCAAAGGUUGUGGUAAUUGCAUAUUGGCCCAAAUUAAGUAGAGAACAAAAUUGUUUUGUCUCUUUAAAUGAGAAUUGGAUUUUCAUUUCAUUUAGCUCCAUUUAAAUCAAUCUUAUGGAUACAAAAACCAAAUGAAAAUGUUGCAUUCAAUUUAAUUAGUUAAAGUGUUAAUUAAUUAAAGGGUGAUUAUGAACCUAAGCCUACAAUAAUUGAGCUAUGUGAAAGGCCGUUUCAAAUUUGUUUGAACCAUGGGAAUGUGUAGAUUAGAUUUUGGUUGUAAUUUGAUUUGAUCAAAUGUUGUAAAAGAGCAUAAGCUCUUCUUUACUUUAAAGUAAUUUGAUUUAUGCAAAUGUUGUAAUGAGCAUAAGCUCACCUUUACUUUGAAGUACUUCUUUCUUGCUUUAUUUGAUAUGCAUGAAAAUGAAGUAGUUGGGUCCAACGCCCCUAAGACAACACGCCUUAAUGUGAUUAAACGCGUAACUAAAAUCAAUUACCAUCCCUAGACCAAGAUUCAACACUAGGCUCGUGUUGAAUCUAAACAAAGGUUCAUAAUCAUCCUAAGGCCCUAAGGCAACUAUAUAGUCCAUCAAUGAAUGCAAACCUUAUGUUAGUAGUAUCAUAUACUCUUGCUUUAAAAACCGUUUUAUAAGCAUAGUGGGAGUAUUAUAUACAACUAAAACAAUCAAAUGGACCAAUAGUUGUAAUAGGACCAAAAUUGUUUUAAUAAAGAUUAAAAUGAAUAUUUAUAUGUGAUGAGACCUAAAACCCUCAACCAAACCAUUAUUAAGUUGACAAGCGUGAGAGUGCUUUGAACACUCUUUCGUGGCCUUCCACCGUGGUAGGCUCCAAUCGUUUAUGACUUGUACACCGCCUUCACCCUAUCAUGGGGGAGUGCAAAGUGCAUGCUUAUACUCAGGAGGACUCUAUAUACAUACUUGAUGAGGUGAGUGUAGGCAAUGAGGAUGGCCAACAUCAUAUCAUUGUGAGGCUAUUCUUGAACCCCUUCACAAACUAAGCAUGGUGGGAAUGACUUAACUAAGUGCAAUGGAGCCAACAUCAUAUCAUUGUGAGGUGACAUUCUCUAGAGGCCAAAUAAGAUGGGUACUUGCAAGUGAUGCAAAUGAGUAAGCGUACUCUCUCAUUAUUAUUAAUGCUAGCCAACAUCAUAUCAUUGUGAGGUGGGCUUGGUAGUAGUGAGUCUCCCAUACCCUACUAAGAGUUUCAUCCAAAACUCUCGAAUUUAAUGAGGGAUAUGGAAUUUGCCAAAAAUAGUGGGUGGUGUUAUUUGAUUUAAAGACCCGGAUCAAAUGGCUUAAAAUCAAUCAAUUUAUAUUCGUUAUGUAUUUGUUUACCAAUAUAUUUGCAAACGCUAUCCAACACUUGACAAAUAAAAGCCGAAAGCUUUAGUUUCCGUACUUGGUACUACAAAACCAUAGAUUGUCUUUAAUGGCUUGUAAAUAUACCUAAGUAGUCUCAUCCUCACAAUCUUCCUAUUGAUAAUGUAUCAUUAGAAGAAUAUGUUAGAAAAGGUCUAUCAUAAAGAGGACAACACUUUUAAUGUCAUAAUUCUUCAAUUACAAAUUUUUGUAUGAAGAAAUAAGAGUUGCUUUGAACAACCCUUAAUCAAUGCAAACAUUAGUGCUUGUUUCUUUGUUACAUGAACAAGGAACUUUAGAAGAAAGCACAAAGGCAUGGACACUUAAUGUGCCAUGAUUCUUCACUUACAAUUUGUUGUAUGAAGAAAUGAGAGUUGCCUUGUACAACUCUUGAAAGUUUGUAAUUAUGUUUAGAACAUAAUGGUUGGUUGACAAAAAUAGUCCAUCAACAUGGACUUAUGAUGAUUUUGAAUCAUUGAGUGUUGAAGUGUUAAACCACUUAACGAGACGGAAACUAAGCUAGGACUUCACCUGUAUGUCCCUAUCUUAAUGGUUCACUAAGUUUAUUGUAAACUAUGUAGUGAACAAUAAACACAUGCUCUCCAAAAUGUUUAAUGUGUAUAACACAAUUGAAAAAGGUUUCAAGAGAGGUAGUGGGAGUUUAGGGACCAUGACUAUUGUAGUCAAAAGAGAAGUCAAAUAAAGAAGCGAAAUUAACUCCAAGGGAACAAACUUUCUUUAUGAAAGGAUGGACAUUGGAAGGGGUAUUUGCAAGAAAUGUCUUGCAAGUGUCAAGAACACAACUUUCGAAGGUGUUGUAAAUUGUUCUUGAAUAGUUCAAAACAGUUGGUUCUUCUACUUGAAUGCUUGAUUCCGUAUUAGUAACUAUGUUUUACAAUCGUUGUAAAAGUGUGACUAAUAAGAAGUAGAAGAUAUAUGAGAGAAGAAAAGGUACUUCACAAUCGGAACGUGAAUAAAAUAUAGAUCUCUGCGAAGGCAGAUAGUACUUACUUCCUCAUAUGAACUACCAAAGAAAUUGGAAAAACCAAAGAUUGUCUUUACAUUCCAAUUUUAAGGAAUUUAAUUCCGUCACUAUAGUAGAGAUGGAUGAAUGUUUUGUUUGACAAAACAUUGUUCUUUAUUAAUCAAUGAUUGGAUAAUAGUAAUCUAAUUGAUUGUCUCUAUAGUAGAGAUGAUAUGGUAGUGUUAACUGUUUAGAAUAUAAUGAUGCUUAAAACCCAAAAGGUUGCAAGGUAGUGACUAAUCCCAACUAAGUUGUGAGACCUCUAAAAACAUCGUUAUGAGUUGGUGAAAGAUGGAUGCUUUGGAUCGUUAGAUCCGGAUCCAAUACCUUCUUGUUAAAAUUGUAUAGAGGCGAAAUGUUCGAAUCUUUAUUCUUUUGGAAAGAAGAAAGAAUCACAAAGUUGUUGAGGUUAAUUCACUUAGAUGUUAGUGGCACUUGUCCACAACAUAAUACUACUCAUGUUAUAUGACAUUCACCGAAGAUCACUCUCGGUUGGACUAUAGUUUAUUUUGAAUAAACACAAGUCCGAAUACUUUGCAAAAGUUUUCAAAGAAUUCAAGAAAUGUAAGUUGAUGAGUAAGACGUCUAAAGUAUUUACCUCCUUAGAUUUGAUCCAAGGAAAAGAAACACUUUAGAUGAGUCUCCUUGAAAGAUACCAAGGAAAGAAGCAUCAUAAGAUAAUAAAUUUCUCCAUAAGGAGAAGAACGAACUAGAAUAAGAUUUAGUUCAUUAGAUGUUAUCUAUUACCCAUAUAUAGGAUAUAUACUUCUAAAACAAUAUGAUUGUCAAUUAGAAGAUCUUCCAAUUUUUACAUGACUCCAUAAGAUGUAGUUGGAAAGAAAGACAAAUCUUAAGCAUGUUAAGAUUUGGGGUGUGUGCUAAUAAGCAAUAUUUGUUUGAUAACAAUCUUGUGGGAUAUCCUUAAAUUAACUUUUGGAUAUCGCUUCUAUAAACCAACUAACAAAUGUUGUUUUGUUGGGUAGUUCAUUGUAAUCCUACAAUGUGAUUUGCCUGAAAGCAAAUGAACGAGAGAUAGAACUCAAAGAAUGGGUUCUUUGAGAGACAAGAAAGUAAUCAACAAAUAUAAACAACCUAGUUCCUAUACCAAAAGCUCCAAGGUAGUCGAUAAGGAUUUAUAAACCGUCUCAGUUGAAUGGUUUGAACUUUAUGACUAUGUCAUAGAGUUGCACCUCUUAAUUCGAAAGAAAUAAAGAAUGAAAAUCCUUAUGACUACAUUGAGUGUAUAUAUGAUAUAUACUCAAGGAAAUGGUAAAGUACCAUUUGACCCGAAAUAAUGAAACCUUCAUAAGCUAAUUGGUAGCUUAAGGUGACUACAAUCAAAGAGAAUGGUUGACUUUGAAGAAACCAUCUUUGAGAUAGUCUUGGUUUCAAUUAAUUCGAAGAUUGCUAGCUACAACUAAAUGGUGAUUCAAUGUUUGGACAUAAUAUGAGUUUCCGAAACCAUUGUUAAGAUAGUCUUGAUAAUAUAUGUCUAAAACUAUCAAUCACAAGACAUAUAAGUUGUAGAGAUCCAUCCAUCAUGAAUCUUAGCAAGCUAAUGGGAGCUAUAAGCAUCUUAUGAGAAAAGGAUCAAAUCGUUUGAUUUCUCAUAAAGAUGUAAAUGAAUCUUUUGUUUACUAGGUUUACAAAAGAUUAGUGGGAGUUAAUCAUGUUUCUAAAAUUUAAAUAUAUGAUAUAUUAAUUUUGAAAAGAAAAGAAUACUUCUUCGUUAAAGUUAUGACUUUAAUACAUUAUAUGAAGAUAGAAUGUAUAAGGGAGUUAAUCAUAUUCCUAAAAUUUAAAUAUAUAUGAUAUAUUAAUUUUGGAGAUGAAAAGAAUACUUCUUCGUUAAAGUUAUGACUUUAAAACAUUAUAUAAAGAUAGAAUGUAUAUGGGAGAUAUAGUCUAUAUACAUGGGAUGGAAAUCUAUAAUGAUAUAUUUCAUGAUAUAAUUAGAUUAUAUCAAUCCCUAAUAAUAGACAAUAGAUGCUAGGAAGUUUCUCAUAUGAUGAUAAACUUCAAUUAGAAGGACGACUCUAGUGAGACUAGCAAGUUGCCCUUCUCAAAGGGAACGUACCCUUUGACUCCCAAAAAAAUAAUGCGUAAAUAGAAUCCUUUAUGCAUAAGCAGAAAGGUGAUUUAUGUAUUUCAUAUAGUAUGAAAAACAUGGAUAUGAGUUGUACCUAGAACGGUACAAGACGAUAUCAGUGCAAGCCCAGGAUCAGAACCAUGGCAACUGUCAAGUGAGUCCUUAAGUAUUUAAGAAAUACUAAAGGAUAGAUUCCUCAAAGAAUGAGGAAGAAAUAGAGUAACGUAAUGGAAGCGUAAAUGUAUUAGAUUAUGAAUCUAAUCCAUCAUUGGAUGUUUCUUCAUUAUGAAUGAAGAGAUAAACGGAUAUAUCUUUAUUAUGACUAAAGAGAUAUUUGGAUGGAAACAUUAAAGUAAUGACUUUAGUGUGUUCCAUUAUGAAUGCAAAAUAUAUUGCCAUAUAGAAGCUUCCAACAAUGUUGUUUGGAUGGGAAAGUUCAUUUAUGAACUCUCUAUUCGGUUCCAACCAGAAAGUGUAUCUAGUGUACUGACACUAUGACACUAAUGGGGCGAUAGCUCAAGCCAGGGAAUCAAGGUCUCAUCAAGGUCCAAACUCAAAUGAGAGACUGAACCACAUGAUUGAGAAUCAUGUAUAAUGGUGACGUCGUUAUUCUCAAGGUUGCUUCUAUGGAUAACAUAUAGAUAUCCAUUGUCUAGGCCUACUAUUCAGCCAUUUAUGAAAUGACUACAAAAGAGGUAUCAUCACUGAUGACCAAGCUGAUUGGCUCUAGUGCAAGUGGGAGAUUGUUGGAAAUGUGCCCUAAAACCAAUCAUAUGAUGAUACUUUACGGACAUUUCACAUGUUAAACUAAUCUAGUUUAAUAUCAAGGGCAAAAAUUAUUGUUUGAGCCGUCUCAUAAAUGUUAUAUGCUUAAACGAUAAGUCCAAGGAAUAUGUGAUUGAGAGAAUGCGAUCUAAAGAAGUUAGAUUCAUGAGACCAUUCUUUCGUAGACACAUCCUAAACAUUCCUGAUCAUAGGAUUGCCAAUUGGGCAUUGACAGUCCGUUAAGAUCAAUACGUGCUGUGUAUUCUCUCAGGGAGAGUGACUAGUCUCGAGUCAUUAGUGUGUGUGACAUCAAGACAAGUACGUAGGUGCUCAAUAGAGAAUGAGUUCACUGAACACGAUCAACGAAGACUUCUCAUAUUCAUGUCACAUGAGAACUCAUGGUUGGGAUAAUGCAAAGUAGUCCUUUGACCU
rnacentral:lncRNA from 1 species